CUCUCCUCAAACAUGACAUUUUGGUAACUUCCGAGAAAUUAAAGAAUGUAACAAACCACAUGGGUUGUCUUUUUCCAAACCAUCAGUCUCAUUAAUCUAGAGACUCAAGUGAUAUCUUAAAGGGUUACUAUAUUAUAGCUAUUAUCGCUUACUGUAAUGACUAUGAUGCCAAUAGUACCCUGACUCCAUUUCCUGGUAAUGGGGCAAACUGUUUGGCAAUGGUUCUCCUACUUAUAUGGGUCCCUGCUUUGCGCUGACUGUCCUUCUGUGGUCAUUGAUGACAGCUGGCUUCUGCAGAGCUGCAGAAGCUGAAAGACAAUCCUGCUAGCCCUUCAUUGGCUAAGAGGGUCAGCUGUCUGUUUUUAAUUUAAUGGGGCAGUUAGCCAUCACUGAAAGUGUGUUGAAAACUUGCUUUAGCACAGGUGCGUUAGAAUAGAUAGGUAGAUACCUAGCCUGAAAGAUAAUUAGAGCUAGAUAGAUAAUCAGAGACAGGUGUUGCGCAGAUGCAGUUUUAAGACAAUGGGGGCUAAGGACAGAAGAACCAAACUCCUGUAGGCACAUAGGGACCCUUUAAGCUUCAUCCGAUGUUGGCCAAUCACACAUGGUGUGAGACAUGGAUGUGGAAUGUUCGUGACUCCCUGUGAGUCACCAAUCUGUUUACUAGUCUGCUUCCUCUAAAGAUUCAUGCCUUCGAGCUACACUAUGUGCAACUAUUGAAACAGCCUAUUGUGAGGAAUAAAGGGAGUAGUAUACUAUACCAAGAAGUAGGAAGUCGUCCAUUUUUUAUUAGUAGAAUAAUGAAUCAAACUAGUGAUGUCCUAUUUUACAACGGGAGUGUAUUGUGCUCAGAGAUACAUGGCUGGAAAAAGACCUGUAUUUUUCCACUAUGGAAAUUAUUAUAACAUGUGAGUUGAGAGACAG